CGAAAAUGAUGGUUUAAUCCCUUCCCUUACUA
rnacentral:tRNA from 2 species